ensembl:rRNA predicted gene, 22527
GUCUGUAGUCAUAGCACCCUGAAAUCAUAUGAUCUUGUCAGAUCUCAGAAGCUAAGUGGGGAUAGACAAGGUAGUGUUUGGGUAGGAAUAUAAAUUGUGUCAUGUC